rnacentral:rRNA from 1 species
GAAUCAACGCUGGCGGCGUGCCUAACACAUGCAAGUCGAACGCGAAAGCCCUUUCGGGGGUUAGUAGAGUGGCGUCCGGGUGAGUAACACGUAGGUAAUCUACCUCUGGGUGGGGAAUAACUCGUCGAAAGGCGAGCUAAUACCGCAUAAUGCAGCGGCACCGAAUGGUGAUUAGUUGUUAAAGCGGGGGACCGAAAGGCCUCGCGCCUAGAGAGGAGCCUGCGGCAGAUUAGCUUGUUGGGAGGUAAUGGCUCACCAAGGCUUCGAUCUGUAGCUGGUCUGAGAGGACGGCCAGCCACACUGGCACUGACACACGGGCCAGACUCUACGGAGGCAGCAGUGGGGAAUUUUGGGCAAUGGGCGAAAAGCCUGACCCAGCAACGCCG